rnacentral:miRNA from 1 species
AAGACAGAAUGCCCAGUGAAAUUUUAAUUCCAAAUAAAUUCCAAAUAAUUGGUUAGUAUAAGUAUGUCUCAUGCAAUAUUUGGGAUAUAGUUAUGCUAAAAUAUUAUCUGUUAUUAGUCUAAAAUUCUAAUUUAACUGGGGGUCCUGUUUUU